rnacentral:rRNA from 1 species
GACGAACGCUGGCGGCGCGCUUAACACAUGCAAGUCGAACGGAAAGGCCUGCUUUCCCUUGUGGAUUGCGGGUACUCGAGUGGCGAACGGGUGAGUAACACGUGAGUGAUCUGCCCCCAACUUGGGUAUAAGCCUGGGAAACUGGGUCUAAUUCCCGAUAGGACUGCAGGGUGGUGCCUGUGGUGGCACACGCUUUUCUAGUGGUUGGGGAUGAGCUCGCGGCCUAUCAGCUUGUUGGUGGGGUAAUGGCCUAUCAAGGCGGCGACGGGUAGCCGGCCUGAGAUGGUGGACGGCCACAGUGGGACUGAGAUACGGCCCAGACUCCUACGGGAGGCAGCAGUGGGGAAUAUUGCACAAUGGGCGGAAGCCUGAUGCAGCGACGCCGCGUGGGGGAUGACUGCCUUCGGGUUGUAAACUCCUUUCGACCGCGAGGAAGCCACCUGGUUGGAAGGGUGGUGACGGUAGUGGUAGAAGAAGCACCGGCUAACUACGUG